AAUUGCCAUAAUGGCCAUAGCAGAAGUGCUCAUGUUGCGGCCCUAUCAGAUUGUAACAAAUCUGUGAAUUCUCCU
rnacentral:ribozyme from 1 species